UACCUGUUUGCGGGAGAGAGCAGCGAGAGCUGCCGCCGAAGGGGAAAUCGCCCGAAAUCUCUCAGGCAAAAAGAACCGUAGACGGGAA
rfam:Mesorhizobium alhagi CCNWXJ12-2 contig182, whole genome shotgun sequence.